GAUGAACGCUGGCGGCGUGCCUAACACAUGCGAGUCGAACGGAGAAGCUUGGCGCUUGCCUCGAGCGGGUGAGUUGCGAGCGGGUGAGUCACGCGAAGGUCCCCUGCCUGGUAGCGGGGGAUCCCUAUUGGAACCGUUAGCUAAUACCGCAUAAGAGUAGGAAUUGCAUGGUAUCUGCUAGAAAGGUGCAACUGCAUCACUAACAGCUGGUUCUGCGUUGUAUUAGCUAGUUGGUGAGGUAACGGCCUACCAAGGCGACGAUACAUAGCCGACCUGAGAGGGUGAUCGGCCACACUGGAACUGAGACACGGUCCAGACUCCUACGGGAGGCAGCAGUAGGGAAUCUUCGGCAAUGGGGGGAACCCUGACCCAGCAACGCCGCGUGUGUGAAGAAGGUUUUCGGAUCGUAAAGCUCUGUUGGAAGGGAAGAACGGGUGUAAGAGUGGAAAGUGCACACUUGACGGUAAUCUUACAAGAAGCGCACGCCAAAUUAGGG
rnacentral:rRNA from 1 species